rnacentral:lncRNA from 13 species
GUGACCGUUAGGAUCGCGUGACAAGAAUGGAGGAUAAUUUGGAGCGCGUGCUCCAUUGCGAUGACAAGGAGGAGUUGAGGCGGAAACUGGCCCUGCUACAGAGGGAGUACUCCAGGACAGUUCGGAGAUUACAGCGAGCUGAGCGAUCAGAUGCCGUGCGGAAGCAUGUGAGGAGUCGGAUCUCUGAGCAGAACCUCCAGGACCAGACAGACCCAGUCCCAGCCAGCACCUUUCCCAACCCAGCUCUACCUCCCCUCUCCCUUGGUAGCCCUGCUAGGACAGCCCCAGGUUCAGCCUCACCACCAGGCCCCGCUGGAGACUCGACUGUGGCGGCAUCGUGUCCGGUGGAAUCUGAGAACCUCAGGCGGAGGAGUCCGUCCAUCCGCUUCCUCCUCCCCGUCGAUGACUCUUGCCCUCGGACACCUGACCUUAACCCUCACAGACAAAGCCACUCCCUCCGGCUGAGGUCACGGAGAAGCCGGCUGCGCUGGGAGCGGACGGGGAGGCUCCAGGGCGGCGAGGGGGCAGGGGGGAGGUACGACACUGAGACCAGCGAGGAUGGGCUGGAGCUGGAAGCACAAACAGAGAAAGAAGAGGAUGGAGAGAAGAGAAAUAUGGAGGAAGAGAAGGAGGGUGUGAAGAAAGAGCUAGAGAGGGAGGAGAAUGAGAGGGAAAUUCCAGAUAAAGAGGCAAUGAAACAGAGCGAUGGAGAGGAGAGAGAAGAACAGAGGACAUAUGGACAGAAGGAGAUCGGUUCACCCCUUCCUUCUCUGAGGAGAGAUGGAGAGAAUGAGAGAGAAGAGGGAAGUGAUUCAGGAGCUGUGGGAGUCUCCGUGUUAGGGGCUGUUGGGUUGUGUAACACUGGGCGAGUCCUGGACUCGUGCACCCUGGUGGAAGGUCUGCCGUUCCCAGUAGAAUACUACAUCAGAACCACAAGACGCAUGGCCUCUUCACAGAGCCACAGGUUAGUGGUCACCUUUUANNNNNNNNNNUGUCAGAGAGUGUUCAGUGCCAGCGAGCACUUUGUCUCCCCUUGCAGAUCACUAUUUAAACCGGACAAAGUAAAUAUGUUGACAUUUUUACAUUUCAGUUUCAAGUGAACAAAGAUGCAGGAUGUUAGACCAGCAGCACCUUGUUUCUAUAUGAAGGAGAGAACAGACAUACAGGAUGUUAGACCAGCAGCACCUUGUUUCUAUAUGAAGGAGAGAACAGACAUACAGGAUGUUAGACCAGCAGCACCUUGUUUCUAUAUGAAGGAGANNNNNNNNNNAAGCCACUCCCUCCGGCUGAGGUCACGGAGAAGCCGGCUGCGCUGGGAGCGGACGGGGAGGCUCCAGGGCGGCGAGGGGGCAGGGGGGAGGUACGACACUGAGACCAGCGAGGAUGGGCUGGAGCUGGAAGCACAAACAGAGAAAGAAGAGGAUGGAGAGAAGAGAAAUAUGGAGGAAGAGAAGGAGGGUGUGAAGAAAGAGCUAGAGAGGGAGGAGAAUGAGAGGGAAAUUCCAGAUAAAGAGGCAAUGAAACAGAGCGAUGGAGAGGAGAGAGAAGAACAGAGGACAUAUGGACAGAAGGAGAUCGGUUCACCCCUUCCUUCUCUGAGGAGAGAUGGAGAGAAUGAGAGAGAAGAGGGAAGUGAUUCAGGAGCUGUGGGAGUCUCCGUGUUAGGGGCUGUUGGGUUGUGUAACACUGGGCGAGUCCUGGACUCGUGCACCCUGGUGGAAGGUCUGCCGUUCCCAGUAGAAUACUACAUCAGAACCACAAGACGCAUGGCCUCUUCACAGAGCCACAGGUUAGUGGUCACCUUUUAACAUCUGUUGUUUUUAUACUUGAUUGUAUUGUAUUGUACUCUAUUGUUGAGUACUACUUCAGAACCACUAGACGGCGACGCAUGCCUUCGUCUCAGAUCCACAGGUUGCCUGGGUGAUUCCACGCCAGGGUGGGACCAAUAUAUAUUUUUGGUAUCUCUGAUUGUUCUGGCAAUUCUCACACAUACAUUUAAUCGGGAGGAAGAAUGUUUGAUAUGAUUUUUACAUUUGUGUCAUGGCCCCCAUUUAAUCAAUUUUAGAAUAAGGAUGUAGCUAGGGAUUAAAUGGUUACUGGUUUCACGAUUUAACCACGAUAAAAUUCCCGGCGAUUAGUAUUAUCGUUUCAAAUGUGUAUUCUGAUUAAAACCGUGUUUGAUUACCGCGGCUUGCAGAAGUCUGAUGCAACGCGGGUUUGGUUUUGUGUGAAAACAUGGCGGAAGGCAGUGAUGGCGCUCUGGAGAUUUUUCAGCCUUCUAAGAGGACCAAAUCUGAACUGUGGUUGUAUUUAGGGUUUUCCCCUGAGUGCUGAGGGAAACUUAAUCGAAAAUGGUCACCCUGUCUGCAGAACAUGCAACAAAAUAAUUGCUGCCAAAGGUGGCAACACUUCAAAUCUCUCGAGUCAUCUUCGUGACCAUCACCCACUACUUUAUAGCGAAUGCAAGGUAAGUUAACUUUUAGCUCAAUGCAUGAUGUGGGGACUUUGGGGUUGGGGGAUAUGUCAUGGUUUGUCUAACUUGCUUAAUAGCUUGUCAAUAAUGUAAACUGAAGCGUUCAGUGUUACCUAGUCCUGUAAAAACACGUUGAUCUGCUGUAUGGGUCGUGUGUCUGCAGACUUCUCCCAUUGCACACGAUAACACGUUCUGUAGUUUAGUCACCCAAACAACAUGUUUUGUUCAUUUAAAAUCCGUCAGUCGACGACUUGGUUGUUAAAGUGUUAUAACAGGUUAAACACAAUAGACUCCAAUACAAGACUCCUGUAUUGUGGGGUCUCCUGUCAGAGAGUGUUCAGUGCCAGCGAGCACUUUGUCUCCCCUUGCAGAUCACUAUUUAAACCGGACAAAGUAAAUAUGUUGACAUUUUUACAUUUCAGUUUCAAGUGAACAAAGAUGCAGGAUGUUAGACCAGCAGCACCUUGUUUCUAUAUGAAGGAGAGAACAGACAUACAGGAUGUUAGACCAGCAGCACCUUGUUUCUAUAUGAAGGAGAGAACAGACAUACAGGAUGUUAGACCAGCAGCACCUUGUUUCUAUAUGAAGGAGAGAACAGACAUACAGGAUGUUAGACCAGCAGCACCUUGUUUCUAUAUGAAGGAGAGAACAGACAUACAGGAUGUUANNNNNNNNNNCCAUUGCACACGAUAACACGUUCUGUAGUUUAGUCACCCAAACAACAUGUUUUGUUCAUUUAAAAUCCGUCAGUCGACGACUUGGUUGUUAAAGUGUUAUAACAGGUUAAACACAAUAGACUCCAAUACAAGACUCCUGUAUUGUGGGGUCUCCUGUCAGAGAGUGUUCAGUGCCAGCGAGCACUUUGUCUCCCCUUGCAGAUCACUAUUUAAACCGGACAAAGUAAAUAUGUUGACAUUUUUACAUUUCAGUUUCAAGUGAACAAAGAUGCAGGAUGUUAG